rnacentral:lncRNA from 1 species
GGGAGGAGGUGGGAGGUGAGUCGGAUUUUGUGGAUAGCAAGAAGGAGAGGCAUCACUUUGUCUCUUCUUAUGAUUCUGGGUCAGAGGAAGUCGGUGUGUUGUCGGAGGGAACCGUGGACUGGGUGUCUGACUCGUUUGAAGUAGAGCGGUCACCGGAAAGAAGUUUCCCUUUCAUAUCGGAGACGAUGAAGGAGGGGGAAGAGAAGACCCUUGGUGUCUCAUUUGGAAAUGGUGAAAGAGUUAAUUCUUCUCCUCAGAAUUUAUUUCUAGCUUUAAAGGGAGUUAAUGUGGGUGGUGAUUGCAGUGAUCCAAAUUUGAAUUUAGAGACUAUUUCAGCCCCUAAUAUUAAUGCGUGUGGGGAACGCGUGCUAGGUAGUGAAUUGGCUAAUUCCACAAUUGUUAAGGAUAAAAGUUAUGGCCAUUUAAGU